rnacentral:rRNA from 1 species
CUGAGACACGAAAGCGUGGGUAGCAAACAGGAUUAGAUACCCUGGUAGUCCACGCCCUAAACGAUGCAUAUUUGGUGUGGGCAGUUCAUUCUGUCCGUGCCGGAGCUAACGCGUUAAAUAUGCCGCCUGGGGAGUACAGUCGCAAGGCUGAAACUCAAAGGAAUUGACGGGGGCCCGCACAAGCGGUGGAGCAUGUGGUUCAAUUCGACGCAACGCGAAGAACCUUACCUGGGCUCGAACGGCUUCUCAACGCCGGUAGAAAUACUGGUACCCCGCAAGGGGGUGGAGUCGAGGUGCUGCAUGGCUGUCGUCAGCUCGUGUCGUGAGAUGUUGGGUUAAGUCCCGCAACGAGCGCAACCCUUGUCCUGUGUUGCCAUCAUUCAGUUGGGAACUCGCAGGAGACCGCCAGCGAUAAGCUGGAGGAAGGUGGGGAUGACGUCAAGUCCUCAUGGCCUUUAUGUCCAGGGCUACACACGUGCUACAAUGGACGGUACAAACCGCAGCAAACCCGCGAGGGGGAGCCAAUCGGAAAAAACCGUUCUCAGUUCGG